AGUCCCAGGACACGUGGAGGAAAAAAUGGUUUCCCUUCGUUGCGUACCAGAAUGGUAUAAUUAUUCCAUGGGAAGAAACCAAACUGGAAGAGGGCAAUUGACAUACCUCAGUAAAAAUGAUAGCAGUCAUCCAGAAGCGCUUACUGGGUUUGUGGAUGGACAGCAUACCCCACAGGAAGAUGAGAAUUGGAAGGAACAGUGAUAUCAGGGAAGCGCUCACCAUGUUGUUGAGAAUGAUGAUGAAGUAACAAAGCAGCUCAGAGUGAGCAGCCACAAAGUUAUAGAGGGCCAACAGGAGCCUCAGAAUACGACUCUGAGACUGAAAGAAGUGCUGAGACUCGGAGAGCUCUGGGAAAUCAAGUGGCCUGAGAAGAGAUCAUGCAAGCAAUUAUAGCAUUACAAGAAUUAUUUUAAAUUGAAGCUGAUGUGAAGGAAAAAAAAAUAAAGAUAACUAGGCAUCUGCUCCCUAGAUUGUAGUAAUCUCCAAGUCUGCACCAUGUGGUCAGCAGGACUGAAGGCACAUUUUCUAUUAAGAUUUGUUUGUCUCCAUAUUCUUUCUUCACUUAUAUAAAAGUUUGAUAUUAUAAAGCAAUAUGGACAAAUUCCAUCAAAUAAGUGCCAGUUCCAAUACCAUAACUUGGUCUCGUACUUCUGGUUAGUAGCUUUGCAAACCCAGGCUAAUAUCCUCAUUCAGACUUUUAAGGGCCAUGGCACACAGGGAGAUUUGAUGAUAAAUCUGUGCUAUCUUGGGUGACAAAUUUCCUGAGAAUGCUUUCCCACCAGCAAUAAUGUAUAUCACCAGUGGAAAAGGUUAUUUUAAUUUUCCAAAACACCUACUACAUUAUCAUUAUUUGAGUAAUAAGUAAUAAUUUUUUAGCAAUACCUGUAUAACAAUAGGUUUUCCCAGUUCAGACUGUGCACUCUUUAUUUCAUACUAACAAGGAGCAAAUAUAGCAAGUCUAUAAAGGGAGUAUGGGAGAAAGCAAGGAUACCACCACACCUGGAAAGCAGCAAUUCACUAGCAGUACGAGAACGAUGACUUGGCUUGAUUUCCGGAAACCCCCUAAUAGAGUCCAAGCUGUUACUUCGUGUGUUGUACCCGGUGCUGAGUUGUGUUAUAUUUUCCGUACACUCUGCUGUGCUGCAGAUAAGCUCCUCUUCCUCACAGCCACUGCAGAGGAAAAACACAAUUUUCCCAUUCACUCCCUAAGGGCUUUGUCACAUUCUUUGUGGCAUUCUUCCGAAAUUGUAAUAUAUUAAAGCAUAAAACCUGCCUGUGGAAAGUAAAAGCAUUUCUCUAAAUUACCUGUGAUUCUUUCUCCUCCCUUUUUUAACCAACCUUUGUACUUAUUCAAGUUCACCACAACAUUAUGUUAAUUUAAACUUCAUCAUGUGGAUUAUAACUACAAACCAUGUAUAGAAAAGUAUGCUACAAUGAACACUGGGAUCUAAACAGAGGGCAUUAAAAAUUGGUAUUGCA